CGAGUCCUGCCGAGAGACAAAGCGUUAGUGGUACCACGGCACAGUCCGCGCCGGCGCCCCGACGAGCCCUCCGCCCAGGAGAGCAGCCAUCUCCAAACGCAGGAGGAGCGGAGAUCAAAGGAGCAAAGCGCUGUCCUUUCCAGCUCCUCUUGGCACCAGGGAUUCCAGGUAAACACUGGAAAGCUCUCCCAAAACGGGAGUGGAGUGCUCGCAGAGCGUGCUGUGCACAGCAGCGAGAAUUCCCAGCUUUUGCUUACGCAGCAAGUCCUUCUCCUGCCUGCGCGGGGUGGGGCGGCUGUUAGACCACACCGCGGCACGUGAGCGCGUGCGGGCGAGCCAGUCAUGGGGUGGGCGCAUCGGCGGGACCAGAGUCCUGGGUACCCGGGGCUGGAGAUGCUGCCCAGCACUUGGGUACGUUACAUCCCAGAGUUACAGCUCCCCGCUGGGCUGAGCGGAGCUGCAGGGACAACAGGAUGGGCAGAAGCUCCUGAGCCGGCCGCGCUCUGGAGUCCCAGCACAGGGUGAGUUCGGAGCACUUGGUCCCGAGGAAAGUUGCUCACCAGGGAGAUUCCUCAUUAUCCAAAGCUGUUUGCCUCUCAUGAAAGGCUCCACUCCAGGAGCCAGGAAUUUUCUGCACUGAGAGAUGCCUCCCAACAGGAUUCACAGACUGCACAUGAACAGUGGUCCCUGAGCACACACAUCAAUACGUGGGAUGCCCAUUUCCAGCUCAUAGAUCAGAGGCAAUGGCUUCCCUGAAUCCACCUUCAUUUGGAAGAACCUGCCAGCCAGAGCCUGCCCAUGGUGUCAGGACCAAUUCCAGUGCCAGAGGCCAAAAUCUGAGUUAUUGCAUGGGUGUAAAUCAAGAGGCCUUGCCAAAAAGUAACAAUAAAAAAAAUAAAGCUGUACAUAUCUGGAGAGAGGAUCAGGAUCCCUCCUUUGCUUUCUAUUUCAGAGGGGAUCCCUUGGGCUAACUUACAGCCAGUGGGAGUAAGUUUUGCUACAAAACCAAAUGAAAGUUUACUCAGGUGUCUGGCCAGGUCUUCAUCUGAUCUAAAUCCACCUCCUUUCACUAGAGACAAGAAAACCAUUUCAGCCACUUGGCCCUACAGCCUCCUGCAGAACAGGAACAGCUGCAUGGACAUGCCUGAAAACAUACCUCAGUCCCACAGCAAGAUGGGGAGAGAAAGUUAAACAAAGCAGUGCCACAACAGCUUACACCACCACCGGGGAGCAGCAGGGCGAGGGGAUCAGGAGGAAACAAAACUGUUUUGCUUCUUCCACUCCACGGCAGCACAGGUUCAUCACUCCAGAUACCUCCACUGGCCUGAGAAAAUGCAACAGUCUCAGAGAAAGCCUGAACCGACCUGCAGCCCGAGCAGAGACGAUGCUCCUCACACGAGCCUUCCCACCUCUCACAGCUCAACAAUCUCCAAGUUCUUCCUUUAGAGGCUUGGAUGUUUUAAGCUUAAUAUAAAACUGUCCUCUGUUGUAGGACAGCCUGUGGGACUGCACAGGAGAGGUGGGGACACCCAGGAGAUGCCUCCACAAUUCCUGCCUGCACCGAGCUGGCAGAACACGUGUGACAAGCAAACCACACGCUGCCUGUGGCACAGCACUGCUUCCUUACCUCUUCUGCUGUUUCUCCUGGUGGCAGCAACAAGCAAGGCUAGAUGGCAGCAGGCUCCUAAAGUGUUCACACCUUUUCUGAGAAACCAGCUGCCUCCUGCAGUACUCCUCAAGGCCAAUGCAACCAGAUGAACAGAGGUUAAGGAGCUAUUUUUCAUAUUCACAGAAUCACAGAUUGUCCUUAGUUGGAAUUCUUAACCCAAUAUUCUUAACCCAAGGACUCCAAAAGCAGGAGCCCUACAUGCACACUUCCAAACACUGAGUGCUAGGGUGAGCAUUUAACCCCAGUCCUAAAUGGGAGGAGAAGGCUGUUUUAGACAAGUUUCUUCCCACUCAGAAAAAUAAUAACCUCUGUUGACAUCAACCUGUCCCAGCAAGUGCCUUUGGCCUUGUGAGACAAAACUGGCCUUCACACAGGUGCUCUCCCACCCAGCACCAGCUGCCUGCUUGGGCACUAUCACAGUAGCACUGCUGCUGGUAGCAUUUGACAACAAUCUCCCUCUGACCCUCCACAGCCCACAGGUUCCAAAGUACCAGUCAAAACCAGCUGGGGUUGGUUCUGUGCCAUCCUCUGUCCCCAUGUCCUGCUUGAGCAAAAUUCUUUCAGAUAUCAAUCCCUCCCCAAAAGACAUUUGUUAAGUUUACUAUUGCAAAUAAAACAAAGAAGUCAAAAUAUUUGCACAUGAGUCAGUGCAUCGCUCUAAGGUUCUCACACCAUUCCUGCUGCCUUAGCAAAGCCUUCACAAAACAAUUAUUAACACUGGCACCGGAUCAAAAAUCUUUUAUAUGGUUAAAAUAAACCAGGUCGUACAUUAUCCUUCCUUUAGUAAAAUACAGAAUAACCAUAGCCUGUAGCCAUUGCAGAGGGUAGUGCUAACAGUGCACUCCAAAGCACAGAGGCUUUAUCUCCCUCUGGUUAGACUAUACCAUGAAGCCAUGAGAACUGUGCAGGCUUCCAAGGGAUAGAGAGAAGGCUUCAACCCCUACCAUUUGGUAGAAAGAAAUGUUUGCCCCAGUCUCUGCUAAUUCCACAUCAAAAGCCCCAAAUAGGGAGUAAAUUCCCACAUCCCACCACGCUGCAUGUGACUGCAGCACCAGCAUCCCUGGGCAGCUGCAGAACAAGAAUGGAUGCAGCCUCUAUGUGCAACAGGCAAUUGUGGAGGUGACACCACUUCUCAGUGCUCCCACCCACCCAGGGUGGUCACCAGGGUUAUGUCCUGCUGGGGUAGAGGGUGCAACAUGGCAAUGCCUCAGAAGUCACCUUGAAAACACAGAGGGUGGAACACGGCAGAGUUUGGAGCCUGCAACAGCAGCAGAUUCACCUCUAAUCAGGGACUCAUUAACCCAACUCGCAAUCCAAGGGAUGGAAUUGCUUAUUUGUAUUAAUUAACUUCUCAGAUUGCAGAGGGGCCAGAGGAAAGGGCCUCAGCAGGGGCUGUAAGAGGCUGUUGAAUGCCAGAGCACAGCUGGGCAGCCUCACACAUCCAGCCUGCAGGCAGGGCCUGCUGCCACACACGUGGAAAAGACGUGGUUUGGAGGCACAGGGAACUCACACAAACAAGAGAAGGAGAUAGCGCCCUGCAGUCCAGAGGCUGAUAAACCUGAAGUCCAGAGCCUGUCCUACCUACAAACCACAUCACAGAACUGUAGAAUGUGUAAGGUUGGAAGGCACCACUGGAGGUCAUCUAGUCCAACCUCUCUGUUCCAGCAGGGUCCCCUAGACCAUAUUAGGGGUCCCCCAGACCACUGAAGGGUUUCCUAGAGCAUGUUAGGGUCCCCUAGAGCACAUUACUCCAGCUGGCUUUUGAGUAUCUCCAAAGAAGGAGACUCCACAAUCUCUCUGGGCAACCUAUUCCAGAGUUUCCAUCCAGGCAACGCAACCUCCAGCAGGCAUGAGGAGAAACCUCCAUGACCCAGGAUGAGUGGACAGCACCUGGAGAGGAGGAGAGCAAGUUAACCCAGCAAGGAUCCAAGGGGAGAGAACUCCUACCCCAGGACACUUCCACUUCAGCCAGCCCACAGUGGCCCCCAAGAGCUGGCAGAGCCCAGCACAGGAGCCUCCUGCAGAAAAGCAGCCUCCUUCAGGGACUGGAAAUUUCUAGCUUCCCUGCCUCCAACACUGUUGCCACAUCCCUUUCACAGAAAAGGUCCUGGACACUUAUUCCUUUUCAGCCACUUGGCACAGACACUAGCCAGGGCGCUUUCCAAGCAAGCCAGAGAGCAUCUCCCCAAGCAAAAGAUGUCUUGGAACUCAAAUGCUUCUUUGUCAAUAGCACAGGAGGACCUGUGAACUCCAGCUCACUGCCACCACUCCACCACACCUCCCAAAAGAGAAACAUGCUUUUAAAAUAACUCCUCUAUAAAUCAAGGCGCUAAAUAAAGCCCAGGUUAAGGUCAUGUCCGGCCAAACCGGCUUUCACUGCUGCUCAGCUGGGAGCCACUGCAGGGGCUGGAGCACAGCGAGGGAAGAGGAAAGCAGCACAUGGGGAUGGGAUGGGCUCCGUGGGCUGAGCCCUGUGACAGGAACAACCCAGCAUGGUCCCACCCGGGGGGAAGGGGAGCAGGGAGAACCCAGGAGGACUUCAUAGCUGGCAGAGGGCUUAGGUCUGAACAGGGCCAGCAAUGAGUGGGGUGGGUGGGCUGCCCUCCCUCCCCUGCAUAUCAUCAGAGCCACAGAUGCUGUGAAACAAAUAAAGCAAUAAAGCUGUGGCAAAGCUCUGUUGCUCAGCCCUAAGAGCCCUUCUCCAUCACAAACUGCAGCAAUACCAGGAGUCAAACACAAAUGAGGUUACCAGUGCCUGGGCAGAAGCCCCAAACCUGGACUAACAAGCAGGCAGCAAGAAGAGCAGACCAGGAUCUGUUACAACCCUGCUCAGGAGACACAUCUACCUUUCCUCAUUCAAGCAGCUGCUGCAGGAUGUGAGACGAGCCUAUCAGGAGGCAUCUGGAGUAAUCAGGAGCUUCUUGGGCUUUUCUAGGUGCACAGAUUGAAUUUUCUGCCUACCUUUGUGGGCAUGGAGAGAACGACAUAGCAGCUCCAGCCACUGGGAACUCCUGUCAUGCUACAUUUCUUUCUGACUCAGGACUCAACUUUUUCCUCUUUGGGACCUGCUGCUCACCAAUUAAGUCUGAACUCUGGAGAACCUCCUACAAAUUUGGAGAACAAGAAGUCAGCCUGCCUGGGGAGCAGAGAGAUCAUCCCCAGGGCUACACACACACACACUUUGCACAGCCUCAGAAUACUUUGUGCUCUUCAAGCAAGAGACAGCAACCCAAAAGGCUCAGGAUAAUGCAAGUUGGUGCAGGGAAGGGCUGCAAUGCUACUGGACCCAUCUGGGCCCACGAAGCCUUGGCAGCAUUUUCCCUACAACUCACCCAAGCACUUUGCUAAUUUUGCCUAGAAAAUGCUGAGUCUUCCCUGCUGACAGCCCCGAUGCUGUCUGUAGAUUCCUAAAAAACAUUGUUAUGGUGAGACCAGACUAACUGUUUGACUGACCCAUGACUUAUGGCGGACAACACUCCUUUCCAGCAGGCUGGUCUGGCCCAAGUUACACACCGAGGAUUCAUCCCGCAGCAGGAAUUUAAGCUAAAGAACCUGCAGCUCUGCUCUCAGAAACCUAGACCCCCAAUCCGAGCUGCCCAAGAAUGAGAACUACAUGUCCCAGAGUGCCCUGGCUAAAUGCAGAGCUUGGCAGAGCAGGGAGCAUGGCUGGGCAGUGGAGCAGAGCCCGGCAAGGCUUCGAGCACAGCGAGAACACCCAGCUCUGAGUCACCGAGUGCCUCGGCUCCCGCUCAGCAGGGAGGCUGUGCCAGGAGCUCCCACAACUUUGCCCUCCUUCUGCUGGCUGCCCGGAGCUUGGCCACGUCCUGCACGCACCCACUGUCUCCCCUCUUGCCCAGGUACCAACAGACAGUGUGAAGGCAGGAGAGAAAAGACCAGAGUCCGCAAAGGUGAGGGGAAGAGAUGACCCAGGCCUCCCACGCCCCAGACUGCAAAGUAGAAAUAACAGCAAAACUGGGAAGAGGCAGAGCUCCAAGCAGCACAACACAGAGCCUGCCCGUGGCCCCCAGCCAGCUUUGGGACUGGGGGAAAAGGAGCUCACAGCAGGCGCUGAGCAGGGCCGGGUUAGCUGGUCCCUCCGCCAGCAAAGGCUGCCGUGCUGCGCUGCUUGGCUGGGGCUGCUCAGCUCUCAGCUGACGUGAGAAACCUCAUUUCCAGUAAAAACAGACCUCUGGGCUUUCCAUGAAGCCUUUCCACUUUCUGACACAAAGCUGAAAGCCAGGCCGCUUUGCCUUUAAAAAACGAGACGUUUCUCUGUUCAAAAAGGUCUUUGGCUAAAAGCAAGGCUUGUUUUUCUGACAAAAUUUGAGAUUUCCCACUCCGUUGCUGCAGGGAGGAGAACCCUCCCAGCCCCAUUUCCUGAGCCGUUCUAAUCACAGCGGCAAUGAGUUCAAGAGAGAAAAAUCUUCCCAGAGCAAGUGCCAGCUCCCCCCUCUGCUGCUUGCUCUGAGGCUCACGGGGAGGUUGAGAGGAGGGCGCCUGCCUUCAGUACCCUGCCUGCCUCUGGACAAAAUAAUGCACUCUUAAGUGGUGCAGUUGAAGAGGUAGGCAUUCCCACUCCUGUACUUACACCACCUUCCUGUGAGAUAACCAGGAAAGGCUCUACCUGCUCUUUGGCCUGUUGUUUUAGGCUUUUCAGGGAGAAAAGCAAAGCGCCCAGUUCCACUUGGGAGGCAAGUGUUUGCAGCCUCACCCAGGCCAGCUUUGCUCAAGGGCUGUACCUCCAAAAGCAAGCUGCCUUCUGCAUGCCACCAUGGCAUCCCUGGCAGAGGGCACGGCUGUAGCCUGGCUCGGCUCCCCUGCCGCUGGGGCAGGCAGGACGGCUCCGCAGCCUGUGGAUAAACCAGCUCCUACAGCCUUGCAGGGAGUGGUGCUCAGCAGACAGAGCUGGGAGAAUCAUUUCCAGAUGCCUCCCUCUGUUCUCCCAGCCCUUCUCCGUGUUGACGCGGCUGCGGCAGCCAAAGCAGCUCCUACUGGGCAGCACACGGGAUUAUCAUUCCAGGCACUGCAGGAAAACAAGCGCUUGGAAGCGAUUAACUCAUGAUCUCUCAUUUAAUUAAACAAAGGGAAAAAUGAUGUAUUUGCUUUUCAGCUCCGAGGUCCCUCUUCUGCGCAUGCUGUAGGUCUGGGCUUGCGCAGCCGGUGAAAGGCAGGCCCAGAGCUGGGCGACCUCCCUGCCAGCCCAGGCUUGGUUUGUUUUCACUCAAGGGGGACAUCCCAGAUUGCUCUGGAAGUGAAGCAUGACCUCCUGCGAGCUUCGAGCUUUGGAGCUGGUGCACAGCUACCCCUGUGCUGUCCUUAUGCUGGAGCAAAAGGCAGGGAAUAGCAGAUGGCAAGGGCAGCCUGGUCCAGGUACAUCCCUGGCUCUGUGCCGUGCUGCAGGUGGCCUAACACAGACUUUAUCACAUGACCUGAGUCACCUGAGCCUGCCCUCCAGCCCAAGACCCCUGUUUAUGUGGGCCUAAUACAGCACCUUCCUCCUUACUCACCUUACUCCUCUCUACCCUUUCCUUUAGGUUUUCGUACUCCAGCUUCUCUGGAGCAGACCCUGUGUACUUUCUCCUUUGCCUGUGCAACACCCAGAACAUCAGAAAAGCUGCUGACAACUCCUGAACAGAUUAAAGAGGCCAAAGUGGGGAUGACCCACAAUCCAAGAAAGUUUAGCCAGAGAGGGGCAGACCUGGGAAAUGGAGAUAAGCCUUUCCGCACGGGGAUGUGUCCCGCUCACAAAUGAGCUCUCAAUGAACUGAGCAGGAGGUAAGUCUUACCCAGACCAACAAAUGAGCCUGCUGCCAAAGACCUGUUACUUUCUAUUACCAAUAGAUCAAGGAUAUGAUAUAGGUGUUUAAAGGGCAGCUGAGAGAACGGAUCAAAGCCCUGUCCUUAAAGAGACAUCUUCCAGCUGAAAUGAGGGCCCAGAAGAUGAGAAGAGCUGUGUAUAAAACACCAUCCUACAGCUGGACACCAGCUUAUUUUGGUUUAGUUUAAUCAAGGGAUUAAGUCCUUAAUCUGAAAUAACUGUCUAAGCACAGGUUUUUUCAAAAUAUCACUGGCAUAGAUCUAACCAUGCAAUUAAUUAACAAAGUGGUACUCUGCGUGAUGCAAAGCUUCAGGUACUUUAGAACACCCUUCCCAGCAACAGACUGAAAGAGCAUGAGCACGUGGCAGCCCUGGUUUCACUGCCCUCAUGUGCCCACCUCCCUGAGACCCCCCAGAGUUCUCCUCUUCACUCCUGCUGCCAGACUGCAGGGGCUGCCCUGGCAUGGGCACCGACAGUCUGGCCAUGGCACCAUACGCCACGGUCCAGCCAGGGACCUCCACAUUCAAAGUGUCAUGUUCCUACAACAGGCUCGGACAAAGCUUGCUAAAUCCUGUUAGGUAUCACAGACAGAGCCAAGAAUUUCCCAGGUCACUUCUAUACAAGACAUUGCAGCAGACUCCCUUUCUUUACAGAGCUCUUCUUGCAAAUGCACCUUUCUCUCUGCUACCCAACAAAAGAAACUGCUUGAGCUCAGUCAUCUUAUUAUUAGCGACAGCAUUUGCUCUGCUCUCAACUUCAGGCAUUGGCAAACCAACCCGAGCAGUAGCCUAAUGUGUACCAAGUGACAGGGCACUCCAGGCAGAUGAAAGAUUUGCUUAUACCAGCCAGCCAUAAAAUACCCUGUGUCAGUUCUUCACCAAACAGGUCAGCUCAUUUUAACACCUUUUAGUCAGAGGCAUUAGGCCAUAGCCUACCCCUUGUGUUCAGACACCCAUCUGGGGGCAUCUUACAACAGAUGGGCAGCCGCCUGUGCUCAAAAAAAAAAUGAUAAUCCUUCAGCAGACCAGCUGACGAGUGCCAAAAACGAUCUCCAUGGGGUCACUAUUUAGAUUAUUAGUUCUGUGCCAGCAUUGCACACGUUCUGGGCUCACAUUCACAUCUCACCCCUUCCUUUGCAAGGUGCAUGAGCUGCUGGACAGACUCCCAUGGAUUCUCCACAUCUUGUCAUCUUCAUAAUCGACGGUGGAUGCCAUGGAGAAACGAUCCUCUUUUAGUUAAAGAGCUCCCAGACUGAAUGUGGGAGCUAGGUAACAGUCUAUCCCUUAACAGAUGAGCCGUAGUUCCUUUUGGCCUUAAACACACUGCAUUACCAUGAGCUAACGAAAUACAAGUCCUGCUAUGUCAAAGGGGAACAGAAACUGCUCUGAAGUGGAGCUGCAAUUCCAGGAGGGGCCAGCAAGAGAAGACAGUCAGUGCAGAAGGACCUUCCUUGGAGGAGAACAUCCCUGCACACCUCUGAUACGAGAAAGGAGCCGGCAGCAGCAACUAGAUGCCACAUCUGAGGAAGAAGCUGUAAGGAAGGAUGAGCCAGAAGGACAGAGCAGGCAGCCCAGAGAUGUCCAUGCCUAUGCCAGUUCAGUCAUGGGCCACCCCAAGAAGCAUCAGUCUGUGCCCUGCAGGGAGAAGUGCUCCUGGUUAGAGGGACCCAGAUUUACUCCAAGACUCUCCAAGCUCACUGGGUACAGAAACACAUGUGCUCAAGCUCUCCUGCCCCUGAGCAGCCAAGCCUGGGGCAGAGUCAGAUGAAACCAUUUCCUCUAUAUUUGGAUACAGCACUAAAUGCAUGCCUCCUGGAAAGCUAAGUAAAUCAGUCAGAAAUUCAUUGCUUUUACUAAACUCCUGAGUUAGAAAGGGGUGAACACAGGCUUUUAAAGCUACUCCCUUUAUAGCUUUUUUCCCCCAAACAGAAAACAGUCUCACGUGUCCCAUUAUUUCCAUACAUAUCAAAGGAGGGUGGAGAUUUAACUAGCAAUUUCUAAAAGAUCUUUGUGCACAGAAGGGAUGUAUGCCAAAACGUGGGUGGUUAUAAGCCCAAACACAAAGGAGAAUACAUCCACAGGCAUUUUUCCCCUUGAUCCAUUAACGGGUCUGCAUACCAGCCUCCUGAGCAUAUGAGAGGGACCUUGUUCAAAAGGUAAAUGUAUUCAGCAAGAUGACAACAGACAGCAAACAACCCACAUCCUUUAACCAUGUUGGAGGCUCAGCAGCGCCGGGUUUUUGUUGGGAGGCACUGAGAUCUGACAGGCAGCCUCGGGGAAGGGAUCCUCCUGAAGGAACCUGCUCAGGAAGCCUCUGCCACGCCCAAGGCAGGCUGCAAAGCUCAAGGCGGACACCUAGCUCAGGUCACCAGAACUCCAGCAGCUUUCCUCCUCUGCACCACACAAACCAUGGUGGGGCCACAGCACCACGUCCCACUGGGGGUGACCAGAAGGCCCCAUGGAGGCUCCCCUCUACCACAUCCACCAGUGUCCAGGAGGAGCACGUGGGAGUCCUCACCUGGUCCCCACUUCUUUUCAGCUGAGCCAUUUGAUCCUGUUCAAAAAAAUGUCUGGUUGCACCAGCUGGAGCAAGGGUUCAUCCAGGGCUUCCCAGCCUGAUGGCAGAAUGGUAAAUUUGAGCAGACAGAAAGACUUUCAGAUUCAUUCUGUGCUGCUUUGAUCUUGGAAGUUUCAGCUUGGUGUCCAAUGAUGCAAAAAAUGGGAUACGUACGAAACCAGCCAGGAGCACUUACCACAAGAAAGGCCCCAUUUUUUUGUUAAUUUUUUAAUGAAAGACUAGGCCAGCCAACAGAGAUGAGGCACUCGGUGUGGCAGAGAGGUAUUAGCAUGGUCAAACCUUCAGAGUCAAUAAGGGCACGUCCACUCACUUCUCUGAGCUGCAACCCAGGUACCAGGAGUGGUGCAGAAAGUACGGAGCAUCCCAUGGCCAGAGGGUGUGCCCUCAGGCCAACUGCCCAUGGGGGAAGAUGGCAGCAGCAUGGCCAGAGGGGGUUAAGCUACAGGAUGCUGGUUUGCUGAAGAUAAGUGCUGACACCCAGCACAGAGUCCUCCUUGGAUGCCUGCAGCACCUCACCAUAAGCACUUGCUGUCUGGCAUUCCCACGUGGUGCUAGAAUACAUUUGGUGAUUCCUGGGUGGAGAUACUUGGAUGCAGCUGGUCUGUCACCCACAUUUACCCACUAUUUUUAUUGCUACAAUGAGCAGCAUGUUCACCUGCCCAGUGCUUUUGGAAAGACUCUGGGCAAAAUUCAAGUUGUCAUCCCUGUUACCCCAGAGGAGGUGCUUUCAAACCGCUUCCAUGUGCUCAGGAUUAUGUGUCUGGACUUUGUCUGCUUUCCAACAUCUUACUCAUGGCUUUGGCACAGAAAUAAAGAAAGAAGAUCCCCAAUGCUUAAA